rnacentral:rRNA from 1 species
GACAGAGGGUGCAAGCGUUGUUCGGAAUCAUUGGGCGUAAAGGGCGCGUAGGCGGUCAGGUAAGUCAACUGUGAAAGCCCAGGGCUCAACCUUGGAAGUGCAGCUGAAACUACCUGACUAGAGUCUCGGAAGAGGGUGGUGGAAUUCCCAGUGUAGAGGUGAAAUUCGUAGAUAUUGGGAGGAACACCAGUGGCGAAGGCGACCGCCUGGACGAAGACUGACGCUGAGGCGCGAGAGCGUGGGGAGCAAACAGG